rnacentral:ncRNA from 2 species
GAUAGAAUCAGCGCCGUUGGUGCUCGCGCCCGCCUUCAUGGCGGCUGCAGUUCAACGGGAAUCAGGAGGGGGAGCCGCACCGCAGCGAACCUAACCUGAGCUGUCCCCGCAACGGUAAGUGGACGAGGCCCCGCCUCGAUGUUCGACCGAGAAGCCACUGGCGCGCAGGCGCUGGGAAGGCGUCGAACACCAUCAGUCCACCAGCCCGGAUACCGGCCAACGACGGGGCCGCUGC